GAUGAACGCUGGCGGCGUGCCUAACACAUGCAAGUCGAGCGAACAGACGAGGAUCUUGCUCCUCUGACGUUAGCGGCGGACGGGUGAGUAACACGUGGAUAACCUACCUAUAAGACUGGUAUAACUUCGGGAAAGCGGAGCUAAUACCGGAUAAUAUAUUGCACCGCAUGGUUCAAUAGUGAAAUACGGCUUUGCUGUCACUUAUAGAUGGAUCCGGGCUGCAUGAGCUAGUUGGGAAGGUAACGGCUUACCAAGGCGACGAUGCGUAGCCGACCUGAGAGGGGGAUCGGCGACACGAGAGCGGAGACGGGGACCAGACUACUGCGAUAGGGAGCAGUAGGGAAUCUGCCGCAAUGGGGGAGAGCCUGACGGAGCAACGCCGCGUGAGUGAUGAAGGUGUUGGGAUCGUAAAACUCUGUUAUUAGGGGAGAACAAAUGUGUAAGUAACUGUGCACGUCUUGACGGUACCUGAUCAGGAAGCACCGGCUAACUACGUG
rnacentral:rRNA from 1 species